ACAACCUAAUAGUAUUGAAACAGUGAAUGUAACAUAAUACAAGUGAAAAUAUCGUAAAAUGCAAGGCACAGAAUGAAAUUUAUACCAAUCUUUGUUUCAACAUUCUCUAAAAGUUAUUACAAACAGAAGACAUUGUACCACUAUUGAGAUAUGUAUAAUUGUAUGUGCUGGACUAGGUUAGCUGCGUAGUAGUGAUACAUGUGAUAUCAGUGUGGAAGUAUGUGUGUGCGCGGCGUCUCGAAAACAAAUGAAUGUAAACUGUCCAGUUAACAGUCUGCUAUGGAAGAAGGUGAGACGCGUAUACAUAAAAAAUACGUUAGAAACUGGUGAAAAAAGCGAACAUAUCCCAAGAUGGACGACAAGAUCGCACGCCAUAUCCCCGAGCGACGAAUGACACAUCCCCUGAAAGGCAUGCUCUUCCAAUCCGUUGUAGCGACCCCUUAAACCGAACUGAAUUGAACGGAACACCACCCCU
rnacentral:misc_RNA from 1 species